UGGCUUUUGUAGGAUGAUCAUU
rnacentral:miRNA from 1 species